UCUGUGAACUUAGUCAGCCAAUAUCCCUCUCAUAAACCCUUGUUGACUAGUGUUCAAAACAAAGUCCACCAUUUGUGUGGGUGGCAACAGGCGUCUUUAAAUCAGCCAGCUUUAAAUCGUGAAGUAGCCUACACAAUUCCUGAAGCCCAGUCGGGAUGCUUGGGUCGGUGGUGUUGUUGUGGCUCUUUAUCCUCCUUCUAUUCUUCUUCAUCAGGGUCCGCCGACCUAAAAACUUCCCACCAGGACCCCGUCCCCUGCCCAUCCUCGGCAAUCUGCUACAGCUGGAUCCUGGCAACCCCCUCAAAGACCUGGAAAGGCUGAAGAGGCGCUAUGGUAACGUGUUCAGUCUGUACAUCGGCUCACGGCCUGCAGUGGUUCUGAAUGGCCUGGAGGUGGUUCGUGAGGCACUGGUGACACGCGCAGCGGAAUAUGCUGGACGACCAACCCACAUGAUGGUCAGCCACCUCUUCAAAGGCAAAGGGAUCGUCAUGGCCAAUUAUGGCUCCAGCUGGAGGGCCCACCGGCGCUUUGCUCUGACCACGCUGAGAAACUUUGGUCUGGGCAAACGCUCCAUGGAAGAGCGCAUCCUGGAGGAGGUGUCCCACAUCUGCACUGAGCUGGAGAGCAGUGCUGGUGCAGUCUCACACACACAACAUCCUAGCGGGUCGAUGGAUCCUCAGCACCUGUUCCAUCUGGCUGCGUCUAACAUCAUCUGCUCACUGAUUUUUGGAGAGAGGUUUGAAUAUGACGACCCGGUCAUCCUCACCCUCAUCCAGAGGUUAGAGGAGUUUACCAAGGAAGCUGUCGGACCUUGGGCCAUGCUCUAUGAAAUCAUACCGGUCUUGAGGCCCCUCCCUUUGCCCUUCAGGAACGUUUUCCACAAAUUUGAUCAAAUGAAAGAACAUAUCAAGAAGGUUGUGACCAAGCACAAAAGUUCAAGGGUCGCAGGAGAGCCCAGAGACCUCCUUGACUGCUACCUGGACCAGAUUGACAAGACAGCUGAUGGAGGCUCCACAUUUAAUGACACUCAAAUGGUGUCUCUACUACUUGACCUGUUCCUUGCUGGGACAGACACGACUUCCAACACCCUCCGCUCUGCCAUGCUAUACCUGAUGACCAACCAGCAUGUACAGGAUCGCUGUCACCGAGAGAUCGCCGAGGUUCUUGAGGGACGUGCAGACGCUUCGUUUGAGGACAGACAUGCCAUGCCGUAUGUUCAAGCCACGAUCCAUGAGGCACAGCGCAUGAGCGACACCGUUCCUCUUAGCGUGUUCCAUACUACCUGCAGCGACACACAAGUACACAGCUACCAGCUGCCCCAGGGCACAACGGUGAUUCCUAACCUGUCUUCAGUGCUGCAUGAAGAGGGCCAGUGGAAAUUCCCUCACGAGUUCAACCCUGAGAACUUCCUCAACGAGGUCGGAGAGUUUGUGAAACCAGAAGCCUUUCUUCCAUUCUCUGCAGGAUCUCGUGUGUGUCUGGGGGAGGGGUUAGCACGUAUGGAGCUCUUCCUGGUUCUAGUGACAUUGCUUCGGAGUUACCGAUUCGUCUGGCCUGAGGAUGGAGGUGUCCCAGAUUUCAGUCUCAUCUUUGGUGGGACACAGUCUCCAAAGCCCUACCGCCUUGGAGUGCGCCUGAGGAGCAGCGAGGAGCUACCCACAGUCUCCACAAGAGAACCCUAGUUCUGUCAGACAUCUAUAGAUCUUAUUCUGUAAUAAUUCAACUUCAUUUUAGUCGAAUCUCCAGAACCCCCCCAAAAAUAUUGAUGAAGUUCUAUAUGAGCUGCAAUGCUUAACCUAGUAUUGCAGACGAACGUUUCGUGCAGAUAGCAAAUUCCGUCUGUAGCAGAUGCACCACCCCCGAAUUCAAUACUCAACUUGUCUGCAGUAGAAUACGGCAACAGGCCAGCAGCAUGAACCUCCUUUCACAGCCUGCGCAAAAAACGAAGCAGUGCUCAUGACUUUCAAGCGACUUUUUUCAAAUCAUCCUUACAUGCUGACCAGACCGGACACGUCGCGUGCGCGAGCGUCACAAAAUAAAUGUAGAAAUCCAUGUUAUUCAAUUAUUGCACCCACACUGCUCGCGCUGCCAACGAGUGUCUGCGAUGCUAAGGGCUAAAAUAGAAGUCGUUCCUAUUUCUGACGCAGAUCGCGCUGAAAGUCAUCUCCUCACUGGUUUAUAGAAGCAGGUACCCACGUGCCAUCUCCUCAAUGGUUAUACAAUGAAAGUUUAGAUGGAUCACCAUACAAGUUCAAAGAUGAAAAAGCCUGGAAGGAGGAGAGAUGACUAGAAACAAUUCGGUUGGCCGUUUUAUGUGUGGCAUAAUUGUCGGAGUAGAGGUCCUUGUGCAUUUCAGGUAAAAUAACAACUCAAUGUUUAUAUCCCAGGACAAAUUAGCUAGCAACAGCAAGCUAGCUAAAUAGGACAAAUUAACGUUAGUUAGCAAGUGCAAGCUAGCUAGCUAAAUUAUCAUACAUGUUUAAUGCUUUUCGACCUGUCCCCAAAUUAAUGACAUAGGCUCAGAGUUUGUUUUGAUAUUUUAACCUGCGUGUCGUGAUCGUGUUUGGUGUGGGGGGGCAAAAUAAAUGUAUGCACGAUAGCGCACGAUGGCGCACGCACGCAGCCGGUUUGGGUUCCGUAUUAGAGUGGCAUCAUGCAGCGUUACAAUGUAUUAAACAUCAAAACAUAUAGCCCAACGUUUGUAGAGCAACUAAAGUUACAUUAAUAACUCUAAGCAUAUAGGAGAACCUAUUUCGUUGUUAACCGCUCAACAUAGAAUAGCCGUAUGUGCGCACCCUCAAUGUUUGGAGAAAAUAUAAUUUUUCAUUUUAUUCAGCUUUGUUCAAUUGUAUUCUUCAUAAUAUAAAAUAAUGCCACGGAAUUCUGAACAAAUCUUGUCUGCUAAAUGAACUAGUGUAGACCACAGCCAUAUGGCAUUGCCAGAUCAGGACCUAACAUAUGGACAACUCAGACAACGCUAUUCUGUUCUUCUGAAAUAAUCUACAUUUUCUUCAUAUGAUUUGUCUCUUUAGACCUGUCUAAAAUAAAUACUGGAUUUAUUGUAAAGGUGUAGGCUAUAUUACAUAGAUUUGUUCAACUUUUUAAAAUGUAGAUGUUCCAAAGGUCUGCAUCAGUGGCUUGUAGUCUGAGUGUGGAAGCCAGAAGAUGCUAAAUGUUUUUAUGUUAAUUAACAGUUAACGUUCAAUUACCGUGAGACCGACAAUUAUUUGCUUGACAAUCACCGGCUGAUGAAAUUUCAUGACCACCACAGCCCGAUAAGAGAUCAAAACAGUUGAACUGUAGAGCCCUGACAGAUGAGCUGCUAAUCAACACUAAAUAGCUAUGUUGUGCAAAUAUGGGUCAAUUAAUAAAUAUUGAUCAAUCAAUGAA